GGCCGCUGAGAACUGUAGCGUAUAGGUGUGACUGUCCUGCUAUAUUGCAUUUCCGAAGUCUCUUUGAUAGGGGCCAACAUCCAGAGAGGGUGCGAGACCUGUACGGAAAGUAGUAUAGUUGGUAUGGUUACUCCUUGGAGUCGGGUUGCUUGAAAGUGCAGCCUAAAGUUGGUGAUAAACUUCAUCUAAGGCUAAAUAUCGACGCGAAAUCGAUAGCAAACAAGUACCGUGAGGGAAAGUUGCAAAGAACUUUGAAGAGAGAGUUCAAGAGAACGUGAAAUCGCUGAAGUGGAACCGGAGAGAGUUAACAUAACUUGGUAGCUAUAUCCUCUAAAGUCGCUUAACUGUGGCUCUGGGGGGUGGACGCUACCUGUUGUUGCACUGACUGCGUUGAUUGUGCUUUCCGAACAGUAUAGUGUUGCCCACUUUGUGGUGUCUUGCUUUCUGGGAGGUUUGUCAUAAUUAACGUAAAGCCAAUUCCCUUUGGAGUCAGUGUGAAAGUUAACCACCUUUCCGACCCGUCUUGAAACACGGACCGAGGAGUGUAAUUUAUACGCGAGUCAAGGGGUGGUGAAAACCCUAGGGGCGGAAUGAAAGUAAAGGCCGGUUAACCGGUUGACAUGGGAUCCGCUCUUCGGAGCGGCGCACCAUGGCCCUGUCUUGUCUGCUUGCAGAUGGGCAGCGGUAGAGCGUAUAGUUUGCGACCCGAAAGAUGGUGAACUAUGCUUGAGCAGGACGAAGCCAGAGGAAACUCUGGUGGAAGUCCGUAUCGGUUCUGACGUGCAAAUCGAUCGAUAGACUUGGGUAUAGGGGCGAAAGACUAAUCGAACCGUCUAGUAGCUGGUUCCCUCCGAA
rnacentral:rRNA from 1 species